AAUAUUACAAAAGAAUAAUGUUACAUGCAAUCGUGGAAUGCGCAAACGCCAUGCAGUCGUUUGAAAAAAAAGUGAGGUUCACUAUUAAAAAAUUAUUAUUUUUUCAUGUGAAUCUAAUAUUUAUUCACUUUUUUCAAAGUGAUUGCACCGUACUUGUACAUAAUUCACGACCACAACUAUCAUU